rnacentral:tRNA from 1 species
UGGUGAGCCCGCAGGGAUUCGAACCCUGGACCCCAAGAUUAAAAGUCUCGUGCUCUACCAACUGAGCUACGGGCUC